AACGAACGCUGGCGGCAUGCCUAACACAUGCAAGUCGAACGAGACCUUCGGGUCUAGUGGCGCACGGGUGCGUAACGCGUGGGAACCUGCCCUUAGGUUCGGAAUAACUCCCCGAAAGGGGUGCUAAUACCGGAUAAUGUCUUCGGACCAAAGAUUUAUCGCCUUUGGAUGGGCCCGCGUUGGAUUCGCUGGUUGGUAGGGUAAAAGCCUACCAAGGCGACGUUCCAUAGCUGGUCUGAGAGGAUGAUCAGCCCCAAUGGGACUGCGACACGGCCCAGACUCCGACGGGACGCAGCAGUAGGGAAUAUUGUACAAUGGGCGAAAGCGUGAUCCAGCAAUGCCGCGUGAGUGAUGAAGGCCUUAGGGUUGUAAAGCUCUUUUACCCGAGAUGAUAAUGACAGUACCGGGAGAAUAAGCUCCGGCUAACUCCGUG
rnacentral:rRNA from 1 species